CCUGGCUUAGAACGAACGCUGGCGGCGCGUCUUAAGCAUGCAAGUCGAACGGCAAGAGGUAGCAAUACCUCCUAGAGUGGCGGACUGGUGAGUAACACGUGGGUGACAUACCCUUCAGAUGGGGAUAGCUAUUAGAAAUAGUAGAUAAUACCGAAUACGAGCACAGGGGUUAGAGAUCUGUGAGGAAAGGAGCUAAGGCUCCGCUGAAGGAAUGGCCUGCGGCCCAUUAGCUAGUUGGUGAGGUAAGAGCCCACCAAGGCGAUGAUGGGUAUCCGGCCUUAGAGGGUGAACGGACACAUUGGGACUGAGAUACGGCCCAGACUCCUACGGGAGGCAGCAGCUAAGAAUAUUCCGCAAUGGACGAAAGUCUGACGGAGCGACGCCGCGUGGAUGAAGAAGGCCGGAAGGUUGUAAAAUCCUUUUGAAACUGAAGAAUAAGCGUUGUAGGGAAUGACAGCGUGGUGACAGUAGGUUUUGAAUAAGCAACGGCUAAUUACGUGCCAGCAGCCGC
rnacentral:rRNA from 1 species